rnacentral:rRNA from 1 species
GUCGAGAAUCUUUCACAAUGGGGGCAACCCUGAUGGAGCGACGCCGCGUGGAGGAUAAGGUCUUCGGAUUGUAAACUCCUGUCAUGCGUGAACAAGGUUGCUUGGAUAAUACCUGAGCAAAUUGAUGGUAGCGCAAGAGGAAGAGACGGCUAACUCUGUGCCAGCAGUCGCGGUAAUACAGAGGUCUCAAGCGUUGUUCGGAAUCACUGGGCGUAAAGGGGGCGUAGGUGGCGUGGCAAGUCAGAUGUGAAAGCCCGGGGCUCAACCUCGGAACUGCAUCCGAUACUGCCAUGCUAGAGUACUGGAGGGGUGACUAGAAUUCUCGGUGUAGCAGUGAAAUGCGUAGAUAUCGAGAGGAAUACCAAAGGCGUAGGCAGGUCACUGGACAGUUACUGACACUGAGGCACGAAGGCCAGGGGAGCGAACGGGAUUAGAAACCCCUGUAGUCC